UUAAAUUGAAGAGUUUGAUCAUGGCUCAGAUUGAACGCUGGCGGCAGGCCUAACACAUGCAAGUCGAACGGUAACAGGAAGAAGCUUGCUUCUUUGCUGACGAGUGGCGGACGGGUGAGUAAUGUCUGGGAAACUGCCUGAUGGAGGGGGAUAACUACUGGAAACGGUAGCUAAUACCGCAUAACGUCGCAAGACCAAAGAGGGGGACCUUCGGGCCUCUUGCCAUCGGAUGUGCCCAGGUGGGAUUAGCUUGUUGGUGGGGUAACGGCUCACCAAGGCGACGAUCCCUAGCUGGUCUGAGAGGAUGACCAGCCACACUGGAACUGAGACACGGUCCAGACUCCUACGGGAGGCAGCAGUGGGGAAUAUUGCACAAUGGGCGCAAGCCUGAUGCAGCCAUGCCGCGUGUAUGAAGAAGGCCUUCGGGUUGUAAAGUACUUUCAGCGGGGAGGAAGGGAGUAAAGUUAAUACCUUUGCUCAUUGACGUUACCCGCAGAAGAAGCACCGGCUAACUCCGUGCCAGCAGCCGCGGUAAUACGGAG
rnacentral:rRNA from 1 species